rnacentral:lncRNA from 1 species
UGAGACUAUUGAUGGAAACUUUGUCAGUUCUCAAACGAGAGCUCUAGUUUCUAUCCAGUCCAAACUCUCUAAUUCCACAUAAAUCCUCUUGCUCUCUUCUUCUUUUUCCACCUCCUAUUCUUGAGAGUCGAACUAACUUAAGCAUAAGAAGAUCAAGAAUCGAAGGAUCUUUAUUGAUUUUUGACUUAUUUUGUGAAUUUUUUUGAAGCCA